AUACAGAGGUGUCGAGCGUUGUUCGGAUUUACUGGGCGUAAAGGGUGCGUAGGCGGAUCCGUGUGUCGGAUGUGAAAUCUCCCGGCUUAACUGGGAAACUGCAUCUGAAACUACGGUUCUCGAGUUCAGGAGAGGAUGGCGGAAUUCUCGGUGUAGCGGUGAAAUGCGUAGAUAUCGAGAGGAACACCCGUGGCGAAGGCGGCCAUCUGGACUGAUACUGACGCUGAGGCACGAAGGCCGGGGGAGCAAACAGGAUUAGAUACCCUGGUAGUCCCGGCAGUAAACGUUGUACACUUGGUGUGAGAGGAGUUAUCCCCUCUCGUGCCGGAGCUAACGCGUUAAGUGUACCGCCUGGGGAGUACGGCCGCAAGGCUAAA
rnacentral:rRNA from 1 species